rnacentral:lncRNA from 1 species
AUAGGAUCAUUAAUGUUUUGUAGUCAUUUUUUAAUCUUGAAACAAAUACCAAAAAAUAGUUUAUUUUAAUGGUCAGUCUUAUUUUAAUAAUUAUUUGUACUUAAUAUUUUUGAUAAUAUUUCUUUGUGGAUAAAGUUUUAGUUAAUUAAGCUAAUUUUAAGCAUAGCUAGUCAUAAAGGCCUAAGUUUCUAGCCCAUUCCUUAAGCUCAAUACCCAAUACCCAUUAAGCUAACCCUAGGGACCCUUCUAGACUUUUCUUUGGAACAAAAAACAAAUAAAAAUACCAUAAGGAACUAAGAGCAAUAAGCUGAAAAUACACAAAUAAAAUAGACCUAGACUCUAAUGUCUGGGGAGAAGCGCCGCUGAACACGAAAGGAACCCCCACCUCCCAUUGUUUCUAUCUCCUUCAACAGAAGCCCUCCGUCGUUUUGCAAUCAAACACAAAUGACCCCCCCCUAAUCGUCUUCUUCAACUCUUCUUCUCACCGGUCAAUGGAGAACUUGCCAGAAAACACAUCUACCUCCAUCGCCACUGCUCCUUCUUCUUCGUCCAUCACAGCUACAACAACCAUGAAACCUGCUUGAAUCCUCCGUGAAACAGUCCAAAAAGCCACCAUUCAAACAAAAGAUAAAAGGAAAAAGAACAAAUCGAGAGAAAAUAGCAGUGAUGAUAUUCAGUCCAAAAACAGAACCAUGAAACCCCAAUAUGAAUCAAUUCCAGAUUUCGUGUCUUCAAUGCUCAGAAACCAGCCGUUUAAGUCUGACAUUCUGGUUCAUGUUUGAGCUUUCUUUCAAGCUUUAGGGUCGUCGAUGGUCGUUGUCUAGGGAGGCUCUAUUUCAGUCGUGCGUUGAUGUGCCAUUUGAUUGGUUUUCGGUUGAAUUCCGUCCGGGGUUCUAACGUUUGGAGGUCCGUCUCUUUCCUCCUCUUUGGUUACCUGUGAGAUGGUUUUAAGCAUGACAUUGAUUUUUUACAUUUGUUUGAGUCAUUGAGUCUUUCAAGUUGGUCUUAGAAUCUCUUAAUACACAAAGUGUUUGUUGUCGAUUUUAGUUGAAAUUGAAUAAUUUGUGUUAUGUUUGAGCUUGACGGUUUAAUGAGAAAGCAUUCUAUAGUUUAAAUUUUAAAUUAGUUUGAGGUCAGAUUGCCAUAUGAAUUAGUGCUUAAAAUAUUUUGCAAUGUCCAUAAUGUUAGUGCUUAAUUACAGUGAUGGGUUUCUCUUCCAAUGCAAGUUAAUAUUUGGCCAUUUUCUUGUCUAAAUUAGGUACUGUUAGUUUUAAAGGGACAAUAUUAUGCUUCAGGUUGCUUUUAUUUGCCUUGUUAUUCUCAUCGUUUCUUAUUUAUUUAUUUUGCGUUUUGUUUUCUCUGAAUACCAUAUGUUUCAUUGUGUGUGUAUCUCUUAUUGAUUAAAUAUGAGGCCAAAAAUCAGAACUUUGCUAGCCGCUAUAAUUUUGAAUAUUGAUAAUAAUAAGAUAAAGAUGUUAUAAACCCGGGUGUACAUUUCAUGUGACCCGAUUCUAAUUUCCAGCAAGGUUAAAUAGGACGUGUCGUGAACCACGGGUGCAUUUCAUGUGGCGUGGCUUGCGAUAUGUUUUAAAUAACCUUGAAUCUUUCUGAAAUAUUAAAAACGGCUAAAAAGUUAAACAAUGCACAUAGGUUUAAAAGUGUUUUAAAAUCAGAUAAUUAGGCAAAUAAUAACAGUUGAGCGACCGUACUAAAACCACGGAAUCCGGGAAUACCUAACACCUUCAUCCGGGUUAAUAGAAUUCUUUACCCGGAUUUCUGUGUUCGCGGACAGUAGAAUAGAGUCAAUCUUUCCUCGAUUCGGGAUUUGAACCGGUGACUUAGGACACCAUAAAUUAUCCCAAGUGGUGACUCUAAAUUUAAAUAAAUAAAUAAUCUCGUUUCGAUUGUCACUUAAAUUGGAAAAAACUCUCUUAUACCCUUCUGGGGUGUAGGUUAAAAGGAGGUGUGACAGGCCUCACUCAGUCCGAAAAUCAUCACAAGCCCCUCGGGCAUUAGUAAAGCAGUAGUUCUCAGCCCAAAACAUCAUUUAGAAAUAUCAUUUAAGUUUCAAAUAUGAGUAAUAAUGGUUGAGUUUGUAAAACAGUAAAUAUCAACAGGACUGAGUUCAAGUAAUAAGUCAAAACAGUGAGGAAAUAGUGAUAAAAAUACCCGGAGGGUUCAAAUAGUUAGCACGAAGCCCAAAUAUGGCAAUCAGCCCAAAUCAUGAUGCUAACAAACAGGUUUCAGUCAAAUACGCAGUAAAAUCAUCAAUUGGGAUGGACCAAGUCACAAUCCUCAAUUGUAAACAACCCCACACUCAUUAUUAGCGCGUGUCUCACCUUAAUAUAGCACUACGAUGUGCAAUCCGGGGUUUUAAACCCUUAGAGUAUCAUUUACAAUCAUUACUCACCUCGAAUCGGCUAAAUCUCUAGCUCGCGACGCCUUUGCCCCUAAAAUCGGUCUCCACGCGCGUCGAAUCUUUCCAAAAUCAGAAUGAAUACGUCACAAUAUGCUAAGGGAACAAAGCCCAAGCAAAAACAAUCAGAAAAUACCAAAAAUUCCGAAAUUAGCAAAACCCAAGCCCCGGGCCCACUUCUCGAAACUCAAAUAUUUUCACAUCAUUAGAUUCCUUUCUCCUCACGAGUUCAUACAUAUCAAAUUUACCAAAAUCUGACCUCAUAUGGUCACUCAAAUUCUAAAAAUUCACUCUCCAAUUUCAAGCCCUAAUUUCCCAACUCUUCUUCUAAAUUCAACAAAUUUUCAUGAUUAAACAAUGUUAUAAUCACCAUAAAUACAAGGUAUAAAUCCCAAGUAGCUUACCUCUGCGGAUACACUUGAUCCCCUCUUGAAAUCACAGCUUGGAGCUCCAAAAUCGCACAAAAAUGAUGAACAAAUGACUUAAAAUCACGAAAGGGAAUUUUUAUACCAUCUGCCCAGCCCUUUCGUACUUGCGAUCCAGUAAGCGCAUAUGCGCUUCCGCUUCUGCGAAUUUCACUUAUGAGUCAGGACCCAUUUCUGCGGUCCAAAAGCACACCUGCGGUACCGCAUAUGCGGUUCUCCCUCCGCUUCUGCGAAAAUCACUUGCCGACCAAAUCUCGCAUCUGCGAUCCUUUCCCCACAUUUGCGGCUUCGCAGAUGCGGUCCACAUAGCCGCUUCUACGGUCUCAGCCCAUCUGAUCCUUUUUUGCUUCUGCGAUGAAUCACCUGCAUCUGCGGUCUGCAAAAAUACCAGAAGCUGCAAAUCUGAAGCUACAACCAACAUCUAACUUCUCUGAUAACCAUCCGAAAUCAUCCCGAAGCCCCCAGGACUUCAACCAAAAGUACAAACAUAGCCCAAUACCUUAUUUAAACUUGUUACAAUCAUCAAAACACCUCAAACAACAUCAAAUCUACCAAAUCAUAUCGAAUUCAAGCCUAAGUUUCUAAAAAUCUUCUGAAAUACUCUUUUGAUAAAAAACCCAACCAAAUCACGUCCAAAUGACCCGAAAUUUUGCACACACAUCCCAAAUGACACAAUGAAGUUACUGUAACUCUCGGAAUUCCAUUCUGACCCUUAUAUAAAAAUCUUGCCUAUCAACCGGAAAUCGCCAAAAUAUCAAUUUCGCCAAUUCAAGCCUAAACCUACUCUGGACAUCCAAAACCAAUUCCGAUCAUGCUCCUAAGUCAUAAAUCACCCAACGAAGCUAACAAAAUCAUAAAAAUUCCGUUACGAGCUCAUAUACAAAUAAGUCAACUCUUGGUCAAACCUUUCAAUUUCAAAGCUUUCAUCUGAGACUGUUCUUUCAAAUUCAUUCCGAUUUUCCAGAAAACCAAAACCAACGAUCUACAUCAGUCACAAUACAUUACUCGGGGCAAGUCAUGCCCGAGAACUGGCAAUCAAAGUGCAAAAGCUCAAAGCGACUGGUCUGGUCGUUACAUCUGUAAAGACAAAUAGAGAACUACUAGUUCAAAUAGUCUCUAGUAAGAAAAUCAGGAAGGGUAUUAUCAGACCCUUUUUUGUAUAUAAUUUCGAAAUCAAAAGGGGAUAAUAAAUCUUGCCCCCUUGCAAACAUUUGUUUAGACACAUCAUGUUUGAAAUCUUUACUAAAGAUAAAUUUUGCUGCUUGGCAAUCAGUUUUAAUCAACAAUUUUUGAUUGUAUAAAUUAGUCUGAAAUUUCAUAACACAUUUGACAAUAGCAAGAAUUUCUUUAGCUACAGUCGCAUAAUUUUUCUGGGAACCAUUCCACUUACCAGAAUAAAACUGAACAAGAUAUUCUUGUUUAUCUAUUAGAGAACAUUAUUUCAAUAUCCCACCAUAACCGAUAUCAGAGGCAUCAGUUUCUACAACCUUUGCCCAAGUGGGAUUAGCAAGAGUCAAACAAGGAAGGUUAUUAACCUUUUGUUUAGUUCUCUUGACUGCUUCAGUAUGACUCUCAGUCCAAGCGUUAGGGUUCUUCUUUAGUCUUUCAUAAAGAAGAGCUGUAUCCUUAGCUAGAUCCUUUAUAAAAGGAGAAAUAUAAUUUAAGCUUCCUAAAAAUCGUUGAACAUGGGUUUUAUCAGUAAUAAUAUCAGGGAACUUAGAAGCAAAUUCAGUACUUCUAUUAAUAGGAAUGAUCCUACCCUUCUCAAUGUUAUGACCCAAAAAUCUAACAGAAGUUUGGAAAAUCAUCAUUUUUGGUUUUGAUAUAACUAAAUCAUUCUGAAUAAUAAUGUUUUUAAACAAAUCAAGAUGUUUGAAAUGAGACUCAAUUUUUUUUGAAAAUACUAAGAUAUCAUCAAUAUAAACAAUUAUAAAAUCCGUAUAAGGAAGGAAAAUAUCAUUCAUAAUUUUUUGAAAUUCAGAAGGAGCAUUUUUCAAUCCAAAGGGCAUAACAUUCCAUUCAUAUUGACCCAUUGGAACAUUGAAAGCCGUUUUAUACCUAUCUGAUUCAGAUAUCUGAAUUUGUCAAUAACCUGAUUUUAAAUCAAAUUUUAAAUAUAAUGGCAUCAUGCAAUUUGUUUAAUAAAUCCUUUUUAUUAGGAAUAGGAUAUCUAAUCCAUUUUAAAACCUUAUUAAGGGUCUUGUAAUUAAUGACUAAUCUAGGAACUCCUCGUUCCUGUUCAGCAUGCUUAUUUACAUAAAAAGCAGUACAAUACCAUUUGAACUUUGAGAGCCUAAUUAAACCCUUCUGCUGCAAGGAAUCAAUUUUCUUUUUGCAUAACUCCAAAUAAUCAGAGUUCAUUUGACAAGGUCGAGCCGUGGUAGAGAUAUUAUCCUCAAAAAAGUCUUCUUCAUAAGGAAGACUUAUAAUGUGCUUCUUCCUACUCCAAAAUUGGCUUGGAUGGUCACCACAAAUAGAAGCAGAAAAUUGAUUUUUGAGAAAAUUAAUUUUUUCUACUAACUUAGGCUUUUUUAAAUACUGUACAAUGCUGAUGGAACAAAUCAUAUUUCUCAAAAAUUCAAUUNNNNNNNNNNNNNNNNNNNNNNUACCGGUAAAACUUUUUGUAUCCCAAUAUAAAAAAGGCAUUAAUUUAAUAAAAAAUGGGACACCAUGUAUUACAUCCCCAUCAAUAUCUUUUACCAAUACAAAACUUUCAGGAAUACAGGUAUCCUGUUGGCAAAUAUAAGCCCUAGGUAAUUUGUAUGAAAUACCCAUUGCACCACCACUAGCAUUAUUUAAACGGUGAGUGGUUUUAUGAAAAUAUCUGGAGGGUAUUACUCCUUCUUUUACACAAUAUAAAUCUACUCCACUAUCAAAUAAAGCAACAAACUCUUUUUUUAAAUUAUAGUCAAUUAAAAGUGUUAUUUUUAUUAAAAACUUUUGGGUGAUAAAAUAUAGCAGUUUUUCUAGAAAUUCAUCUUCAGAAAAGUCCAUAGCUGCAAGCAAAGUAUUAGCAGUAUUUUCUUCUGAAGAACUAGCCGUAGUAUUUAUCUCAGUAAUCUUGAUACUGGGAUCUGCUUGGCAGAAUUCUCUAAUUUGAAAAUCCUUUCAUCUAAGACUACUUUUGAAGCCUUUAAUUCCGAGAUUUCUUUCUUGAGAUAAUUUAUCUCAGUACUUAAAUCUUGGACAGCAGCAAGCCUUUCAGGCUGAGACUUGUUUUUCACCAUUUUUGUGAUUUCAGACAUGGUGUAAGGUCCUUUUUGAGAUGGAAUUUCUUCCACCUCUGUUCCUGCUUCUGAACUAGUAGGAAGUUUAUCAAUAAGUUGGGACCUUAAUUCAGGGUCUUUAAUAACCCUUAGAAGAUCAAUCAUAUUAUCAUUAGAUAGAACAUUGAUCUUCAAGUCUCUAAAUUGAGAGCAAAUAUUAAAAAGUUCAUCGUCGGUAUUGCAACAAUGAUUUGAGCAUUGUCCCUUAUUAUAGAACUCUUGCUCUUCUUCAGAAGAUGAAGUAUAACUUUCUUCAUGAAGGACCCUUAGGUCUUCACUUGUUGAUGAAUUAUCUUCAUCAGUGUCCGAUAUAUCUGGGGAAGAAUUUAAAAUAAUCUUGCAUAAAAAAUCUUUAAUAUGAUCGUCUAAAUCUAAUUCCUUGAUCUUAUCCUUAAUUUUGCAAUCCUUUGCAUAAUGACCUACUCUUCCCCAUUUAUAACAGGCAUGAGGGUUUUUUGGUUUAAUAAAACCCUUUCUGGCUUUAUGAAAAGCCUUUGUUCUUUGGGUCUUUACAUGCCGUUUCUCCAGCGAACCCUUGUUCCUUUUGAAAUCCUUUUUAUGGGAUUUCUUCUUCUUAGAAGGUAUAUCAAUGGCGAAAUGUUCACAGAAUUCACCUAAUUGUUGUCUCUCAGUGAGACAAUAUUUCUUAGUUUGUUGGUUUAGCUUGAUCUCAUAACACAGAGCUAAACCUUCCUGAGUGCAUAGACUAAAGAGUUUACCAUAUGAGUAAGUAUCAUAAUUGAUACUCAUCCCUGUGCCUCUAAUGAUUUUUCGAAUCCUUUCAGCAAAUAAGGGAGGGAGUCCAUCAAUAAAUUUAGACUUCCAAUGAGUACUAUUACUUUCUAGUAAUUCCAUCACUCUGGAUAAGAAAACAUAUUUAUACCAUCGAAAAGAUGUGAUGGUUUUACACCUCAAAUUCUGGAGCAUCGUUCUAAUGGUCUUACUAUUAUCAGACCAUCUUCCAGAAAAGUGUUCGAUGAUGUUCAUGACUAAAGAAUAGACUGAGUUUUGAAUAGUCUUAUCCUCUUCAGUCUUGGUUGCGUUCAUUAUUUGAAAACGCUGGCCAUGAGUGAGAUAAUUAUCCCACCAGCCUUUCAGCUGGCCAGUAAAUCCGGCAAUAAUCAUUUCUACAAUUUCCCUAUCUAUAUUCUUAUUAACCUUACAGAUAGUACUGUACAUAAGCAUUCUAUGUACUAUAGUAUAGAUCUGUCUUUCAACAAGACCAUCUAUAUUCCAUUCAUAGAUAUCUGACUCACUAUAACCCUAGUGAUAAUGGUCAUUGUCCUGUUCUUCUAUUAGGACAUCUUGGGGGUAGGUCUAGGAUAGUAAAACAUUUUCUGGUAUGGUUUUCGAGCAUACUUUUCAGAGAUUUUAUUAAUCUCGUCGUCUACCUUCAGAUUGCUAGUAGACGCAUGCUCUAAAGUUAGAGGGCUAGCUCUAAAUUCACCUUACUUCUUAACAAGAAGUUCUUCAAUAUUCUCUAAACUUAGGUUAUCCAGACUUUUCAAUUUAAAGUCCUUUACCUCAGGAGGUGGUUGGACACUUGUAGUAGUGAUUUGAUCUUUACCUUUAGUAUCCUUCUGUUGGAUUUUUUGGACCUCAGCUAUAAGCUUGUCCAAUUUCUCAUGAAUUUUGAUAGCCUGUUCACCCAAAUACUUACAUACAUAUUAGUAUAAUUGUUCUGAGUAAGCAUAGUAUUCAGGUUCUUCGCAGUUAUAGCAGCAACAUCAUUUUCAAAUAUUUUUGAAAAAAGUAAUGCAGUAAAUAAUCUUAUCUUUUUCCCCUAUAUGAAAAGAUUGUUGGGGUGGAAAAAUAGAAUUAACAAUAUUUCCAUUAGUGAGCGUAUAAUCUCUUUCUAACACAGAAACAUAGUUAUAAACAUGUUUUGACAUAAACCAAGGAACAAAAGCAAUAAUCUUAUUUUUUUUGCUAAUAUCCCCAUAAAAUCAUUUCUAAACAAUUGUAUUAAUUUAGGAGUCAUGUUUUCAUGAAAUCAUUUUCUGAAAACAACCCAUUUGGAUUUUAGAAAUUCUUCUAAAAUCAUUUUUCUUGCCGGUGAACCCGGACUAAAAUCUAUUUGGUUUUCAAUCAUUUUUAAAACCAUUUGUAAAAUUCAUAUCGGAUGGAGUAGGUUCAAAAUCUGCAGUAUUAUUAAUCUUGACAAUAUUAUCACUACUGAUGCUGAUAUCAUUAACUCUAUUAUUUUCUCUAAUUUGAGAUGUGGAUGCUCUAGAUGGAAAAUCUACCACGUAAUCAAUUGGAGAAAUAUAUGAAUAGCUUGAUCUAGUUAAUCUAGAUAAUAAACUGAUAUUAUCAGUUUGCUCAGGUUCAUUGAACCUGAUUUUAACAGUGCCAUCUGAGGUUUGUUUUAUUUCUGUAACCUCAGUAUUACUAGUGUUUCGAGGGGCAACUGCUUCCUCUAUGACCCAUUCCUUAGGGAAAUCAAUUUCAUCCCAUUUGAUAGGUCUUUUGGUGUUUACUUUGGAUUUACCAAAGUUGGUUUCUAUAAGAAUAGUUUCAUUUUUGAAAUCCAUAAUUUUUCACAUAGGAUUCAAAGUAUAUAACGGUUUGAAAUAAAUCCUAUAGCAGAUGCAUAUGACUUCUGUACUAGGCAAACAAUUAUAACCAUGUAAUAUAAUGCUAAGUAUUAAAGCAUUCAAAGAAUUCUCAUCAUUAAGAGAAAUCUGCAAAUUAGGAAUACAUUAAAAUAAACAGGGCCAUAGGCCAAACUGGUUUGCACAGUCCCUAUGAGAGACUUUUUCCAGUCCUGGUUUCUGCCAUCUCUAAGAGCUGCAAUAGAGCUUUCAGGUAAGCCUCUUAAAGUAAGUGGCUUAAAGGCAACUUGUAUUAAACCUAUAUGUAUAAAUCUAUAUGAAUCCCUAUAAGGGACUAAAUCACUUUCAGAUAAUAAUCUGAACGUAGCAUGAUCACUAUCUACAGUGAUAGUCUCUUCAGCAGUUUUAACUACCUGUUUUAAACCUAUUCUUUUAAAGGUACCUAACUGGUAUAUUACAUUAGGUUUGAUUAAUGGGAUAGUCCACUUAUUAAGAAGGUCUAAUUGUUGAGGUAAUUCAUACUCCUCUUUCCUACUGUUUUUAACAGCAGUCUUCUUCCUAAUGAUAUUCAUUAAGAAAAUAGUGUUAAACUUAGUCUCUAAUGUUUUUUACUAACAUGGCUCUGAUACCAAGGGGGUACAGGAUCGCUUCCGAAUGAGGCUCGGGAAAUGAAUUACAAGAAUUUCAGCCCUAGCUAGCUACUAACCUCUAGGCAAACCUUAAACCACGAUGCUCCUCACAACCCUUCAACGGCCACCUGCCUAACGGGUUUACGAGCACCACCGGUUAGGUUGGCCUAACCAAGGUUUACUAUCGAGAAUAGUAACUGCCUGGUUUAUAUAGUUCUUAACCCAAAACCUCAUCGGAGUUAUACAGUAGACUCCUAGCUACGAAACAUGCAUAGUAAACAACCUUCGAAUACUAAGUCUAACACUUACAUGUUUACCCGAUCAUUUAGGCCAACAGUGCUACAAAAAUGAAAGAGGGAAGGAGAAGAACAGUACCAGACCAAAGACCCUUUGUUGUGGCCAAGUGACCUUUUUGAUUUUUAUUUCUGAAUUGAAAAUAUUACAAAAGGGGUUUUUUACAAGUAGAGAGAGAAACUAGAGAGAAGUCAGAGCGUUUUGUAAUGCCUUGGCUAAUGCCUACUUCUCUGAAUAAUAAAAUGAUCGUUAUAUAAUGGAUCGGUCUACAAACAAACAAAACUAAAAAGUAAAACUGGCCAACAAAAUAAUUACAGGUGUGGCCGACAAGAUAAAAAAAGUUCUAUAAUUAAGUCCGAACAAACUACUUUAUAAAAGUAGAAUCCCUUCAAUAAUGGAGGGGCCCGUUAGUUUAUUAAAGUCGUCUUUACUACCCCAAUAAUUUAUCUAUUGGGGCCUUCAAUAAUUCAGACUUUGCUUUUCCCUUUGUCGUUUUUCACCAAAGAUUCUUCGGCACUUUCCUUCAGCUUUGUAAGGAAAUCUUCAAUUUCUUCAAUAUUAAUUUUUGUGUCAGAGGGGCUCUGUGCUUCACCUGCUACACAUAUUCCUUCAUUUGAAGUGCUUUCAAUGGAGGUCAUAGAGAUAUCAUCUCUGACUGUUGUUUCAAAAUUUCUUACUAGAUCCUUCUUUAUUUCUUCAAAGUAUGAAGCAAGGAUCUCUUUCUUUGAUAUAGCUCCUUUCUUCAUUUGGAGCCGCUUUGUGAUCAUUUCAAAAGGACUUAAUUUUUCCUCUGCAACCUGUGUUCUGUCUAAUUUGACAGUCUUCUAUUUUAGCCUGUAUUUGUUGAAUCAAUUCUUCACCAUAUAACUUGCCUUGCUGAUUAGUCUGGAAUAACUUAGACCAAAACUUAUGAUAAAAAAUUCUGUUAAGGCAGGGAAUUCCUUCAUUGGUAUAACCGAUCUGUACAUCCCAUUUCAUUAUGCAAGGGAUUGAAAAUUCGAUAAAUAAAUACAUGGUAGCAAUACCAUUAUAAAAGAUAUUAUCAUUUUGUAAUGACAGAAUUUGGGAUAUAUGUCUACCCACUGAGAAUAUAAAGCUUUUAGUAGAGGGUUGAGUAUUUCUAAUGAUGGACCGUAUAACAUCCACCACUUGAAGAACCAAUUUGGAAUUUGUUGUCCGAACAUAUUAGGACAGAGUUUAAUAAACUAAGAAUGUUUCCUAUUAGGAUUUUCAUAAAGGAAAGUUUAAUUAAAACUCUCUACAUAGUCCCAAUAAUUGAACUUAACUGAUACCUUUUGGUUAGGAUAUGUGUAUUCACGAUCCUUGAGAGUACUGAUACCCCAUUCAUCAGAAGGUAUGACCUUCAUUAUUAUAAUCUUCAAAAAACUAUAAUUUUUCCUAGUAUUAUCAGGAUAAAAGUGCUGAAUUUCAACAGAUCCUGUUGUUGGGAGUAUAAUCUCAUAGUGCAUCCUGUAUUUAUAAGCAGGAGUAGUGUAUAACGCUGUAUCAAAAUACCUGGCCAUUAUUUUCCAAGGAUUAUCCUUCCAUUUAGGUCGGAUUGUUCCAAAAGAAUUAUUAACUCUUUUGUCUCUUUUUGAGUAUAAAACUCAAAAUUCUCAUUACUAUCCUCUGAUAUAACUGAGGAGUAGGUUGGUACAUUAGAUGUGGAUAAUGUACCUUCAUCUUUCUUGGAUUGUAUAAAAUCCAUGAAUUCUUUGUAUAAAGGAUGUUCGGUAUUACCUUCUGUUAUAUUGGCGGCUAUUAGCCUUUGAUUUCCAAUUUGGGCGAGAAUAUUAUUCCCUCUACCAUCGGUAGAUGCCCUACCUCUUCCUCGCUAUGACGACCCAAAGGGUCAUCACCUAUUUUUAAUUGUAUUAUGUGCUUCCUAGGCCUUGAAAACCUCAUUUAGAGUCACCUCAAUUUGUGUGCGCAGUCCGGGCACGUAGCCGGAAAGCUUAAAUAUGAAAUUUUGUAAAAAAUGAUGAAAUUUGAGUUUAAAAUGAAUAAAUUUGACUUCGGUCAAUAUUUUGGGUAAACGGACCCGGACCCGUGAUUUGAGGUCCCGGAGGGUUUGUAGGAAAAUAUGGGACUUGGGCGUAUGCCCGGAAUCAAAUUCCGAGGUCGCGAUCCUGAGAAAUCAAUUUUUUAAAGGAAAUUAUUUUUCUGAAAUUAUUAAGAAAAAUUGAAAUGAAAUUUGAUUAGAACGUGUUGGUAUCAGGUCCGUAUUUUGGUUCCGAUGCCUGGUACAGGUCUUAUAUAUGAUUUAAGAUGUUUCUGUAAAGUUUGGUUAAAAUCGGACGUCGUUUGACGUGUUUCAGACUUGAAAUGCUAAAUUUGAAACUUGAUAAAGUAUUUGGAAAAAUUCUUGAUUUUGAGGUUUGAUUCAUUGUUUUUAAGGUUAUUUAGGUGAUUUGAUCACACUGAUAGGUUCGUACAAUGAUGUUGAGUUAGUGCAUGUGUUUGGUUAGGAUCCCCGAGGGCUCGGGAGUAUUCCGGAGGUGUUUCAUAGUGGUUUUAGACUUAUGAAAGUUGCAGGUUUCCAGUUCUGGUAUGGUCUUCUUCGCGUUCACGGGAGAACCCUUGCGAACGCGAUGAGUAAAUUUCCUGAAGGAAAUUCCCUUCUACGCGAACACGUAGACCAGGUCGCGAACACGAGGCAACGUGGGGCUAGACCUUCGCGAACGCGUUCCUGGCUAUGCGAACGCGAAGGCCAAGUGCCUGUGCAGGGGGAAUGGGUAGAACACCCUACGCGAACGCGAGGGCUCAAGGAGCAACAGCUUCGCGAACGCGAGCCCCUAUCCGCGAACGCGAAGGCCAAAAAGCCUGACCCAUAGCAAACACGAGAGGUCUAUCGCAAACGCGUAGAGUCAUUUUGCUCAAUUAUUUUAAAGUUCCAAAACAGAACCACAAACGGGAUUUCAUAACAUUUUCAUAAACCCUUUCUUCUUCAAAGCUCCUAGGCGAUUUUUGAAGCAUUUCUUCACCAAAGUUUCUUAGGUAAGCAUUGUUUAACUCGUUUUCUUCAUUUUCCAUCAACAUCUAUUGAAAUUCUAGGCCUAAAACAUGUAAUUAAGGGUAGAAAUUAGGGAAUUGGGUAGAGCUAGGGCUUUUUGAUUUUUCUUGAUUUAGACCUCGUUUUGGGGUGGAAUUUGAAAACAAAUUAUAUAUUCGGGCUCGUAGGUGAAUGGGUGAUCGGGUUUUGGUCUGAACAUCGUGUUAUGACGCAGCGGGACCAGGAUCAAUUUUUGGGAUUUUGGGAAGAAUGAUUGGAAAGUUAUAAUUGAACAUUGAAAUUGGAUUGUUUAGCACUUAUUGAUGAUAUUGAGUCAAUUGUGCAUAGAUUCGAUUGGGUUGGAGCCGAAUUUAAGAGGAAAACCGGUGUUCGAGGCUUGAGUUGGCCGUGGAAGUUCGAGGUAAGUGUUCGGUCUAACCUCAGUUUGAGGGAUUAGGAAUUGAGUCCUAUUUGCUACUUGCUUCUUGUUGAGUGUAACGUAUAGGCAUGGUGACGAGUAUCUAUACGUUGCUGUCGAGCAAGACCGUGAGUCUUAAAUUUGAACGUUGUUGUGCUCUCAUAUGGCACUUCAGAUGCUUUAAUUAAUGAUCUCCUAUAUUGAGUAAAGAUUGAUUUUAUCCUCGUAGAUCUUAGUUAUGAUUGAGUAUUGUCAUUAAUUGAGCCGAGUACAAAAUGAUUUAGGAUAUGGUUAUAGCUGAUUCUCCCUUGCCGGGAUGACUAUUUCGAUAUUGUUGUUCCCUUGCCGGGAAGUUAUUAUAUUGUUUUUGUUCCCUUGCCGGGAUUUCUUGAAAUUUGUGAUGACUUGUAAAUGGGAGCGGGUGGUACGCCUACCACAAGAUAUAAUGAAAUGAGAGCGGGUGGCCUACCACAAGAUAUAAUGAAAUGGGAGCGGGUGGUACGCCUACCACAAGAUAUAAUGAAAUAGGAGCAGGUGGUACGCCUACCACAAGAUAUAAUGAAAUGGGAGUGGGUGGUACGCCUACCACAAGAUAUGAUGAAAUGGGAGCAGGUGGUACGCCUACCACGAGAUAUAAUGAAAUGGGAGUGGGUGGUACGCCUACCACAAGAUGAAACUAAAAGUGAAAGUUGCUAUAUUUCUUUUUAUCCGCAUUAGAAGUUAAAUUGUAUUUUCCUUAUUAUUCUUUGAUAUUCUGUUUAUCUGCUACCCCCGAAGCAUGUUCCCUUUCCCCAACUUUGAUUGCUUAUUACUUGUUUACUUUUUCUGCCAUAUAUUAUAUAACUGCACAGGUUUAUCUGUAGUCUGGUCCUAGCCUCGUCACUACCUCGCCAGGGUUAGGACAGACACUUACCAGCACAUGGGCUUGGUUGUGCUAAUACUACACUCCGCACUCUGUGCAAAUACCAGAGUAGUUUUUGAUCAGCAGCAAUAGCUCGGGAGCCAGCCUUCAGUCCACGGAGACACCAACGUAGCCUUGCAGGCGUCCGCAGGCCUGACGUCUCCUCUAUCUUAUUUCAUAUUCUGUUAUCUCAUGUAUUAUAGACAAACCAUGCUAUAUUUAUUUCAAAUAGUUGUAUUUAGUACUCUUAGUAGUCUGUGGAUGUUGUGACACCAGGUUUUGGUUAGAGGCACGUGAUGGUCUUUGAGACAUUUUCAUUUUCUAUUUAUUUAAGACUUCCGCUAAAUUUCAUAUUUCGCUGUUAUGUAACUGUUUAUUUCCUUGUUAUUAUAAUUGGUAAGAAGUUUUAAAAUACGGGUCGUGACAAGUUGGUAUUAGAGCUCUAGGUUAUAUAGGUCUCACAAUUCACAGACAAGCUCAGUAGAGUCUGAGGGAUCGGUACGGAGACGUCUGUAUUUUUCCUCCAUAGGCUAUAGAGUUAGGAAAAUUUCACAUUUGUUCUUUCCUAUUGUGCGGUUUUAUUUCUCAAUACUGAUUGCCUUCCUACUCUGUUCUUUCGCAGAUGGAGAGAACACGCACUUCCUCAUCUACCGCUCAGCAGCCCGAGCCCCCAGCAGUAGCUCCUACGAAGGGCAGAGGACGAGGCCGAGGCCGUGCUAGAGGCUGAGGUAGAGGCAGAGCUCAGCCCCGAGCAGCAGCACCAGUGGCGGAGCCUCAUGUUGAUUUUGACGAGGAGGUUCUGGCCCCAGUGGUUCCGCUGGGCUCGGCUUAGGUCCCGAAAGGGUUUAUCGCUACCCCAGUUCUUCAGGAUGCUAUGAUCCGAUUAGUGGGCCUCAUGGAGAGUGUCACCUGAGUAGAUUUGCUUCCUGUAGCACCAGCCAUCUCUCAGGCUGGAGGAGGGGCUCAGACUCCUGCUAUUCGCUCUCCAGAGCAGGUGGCUCCUCAGAUUCAGACUCCAAC